GAGUUUGAUCUUGGCUCAGAACGAACGCUGGCGGCGUGGAUAAGACAUGCAAGUCGAACGCUCAUUCUGGUGUAGCAAUAUAUCAGAGUGGGAGUGGCGCAAGGGUGCGUAACACGUGGGUAAUUUGCCGUGAAGUUGGGGAUAACUCGCUGAAAGGCGAGCUAAUACCGGAUGUGGAGUUUGGGUGGCAUCAUUUGAACUCUAAAGCUGGGGAUCGUAAGACCUGGCGCUUCAUGAUAAGCCCGCGGCCUAUCAGCUAGUUGGUGAGGUAACGGCUCACCAAGGCUAAGACGGGUAGCUGGUCUGAGAGGACGACCAGCCACACUGGAACUGAGACACGGUCCAGACACCUACGGGUGGCAGCAGUCGAGAAUUUUUCUCAAUGGGCGCAAGCCUGAAGGAGCGACGCCGCGUGGGGGAUGAAGGGUUUCGAUCCGUAAACCCUGUCAUUCGUGAACAAUGGUUACGAUUGAAUAUUUCGUGACUUGAUAGUAACGGAAGAGGAAGGGACGGC
rnacentral:rRNA from 2 species